CACUAGACUCAAGAACAUGGUUCUGUGCAGUUCCUAGAAGACCACUGCAUUCUAUGAUGUCACAAAGUCCCCUGCAGCAAAGAGCUAGGUCUCCUACCAAACUGUUCUAUUAUAGCAACAACAACAACAACAACAACAACAACAACAACAACAACAACACUGACGACCAUGACAGAUGCUAACACGCUGCAGUAACUCUACCUAUGCUAAUUCCACGGUUAGGAGGAACCAGAAGGAAAGCUACAGGGUAAAACACAGCUUGGGCCAAUGUGUAAGAAGGAAAGAGGAGGAAAGAAAACACACCGCGUCAAAGCAAGCUUUCUCUUCUCCGUUUUCAAAAGGAGCGCACAAAAGCUUAGAGCCUCUGAUGGAGUUCUGGCUGCUGCUGCUGAGCCAGUUGACGUUCGUCUGUACCAUGAGUGCAUCCAGUACUUAUGCACAAAGGAUCCAGAAGGAGAAAGACGGGAAGAAUAGAGAAAGAAAAAAACAACUCUUAUUAAAAUACUCUUAAAACUAACAGUGAUUACAGAAAUAAUAAGAGAGCCCCUAAAAUAAUGAGAAGACUACACGACGUUGGUCUCUACACACCCUUUGGAUUCAAAGGAGAAGAGUCAUAUAUUUAGUGCUACCAGAAGUAAAAACAUACCUAAUUUUAUUCUCCGUAUCAUCACUGUCCGAUUCUUCAGAGCUUCUGUACUUAUCUGGAUCUGGAAGUGUACUUGGAUCAAAUCCAUCAUCAUCAUCAUCAUUACUCCAAUCCAGAAAAGCUUCCUCUUCAUCUCUGGCCUAAGAAAACACAAGGGAAAUUGUGGUUUAAGAAAACAGCUGAUGAAUAAUCAAGUCUUAUUUCUAGACCCAAAUAAAUACUUCUCUAAUUAA